GAUGAACGCUGGCGGCGUGCCUAAUACAUGCAAGUCGAGCGAACGGACGAGAAGCUUGCUUCUCUGAUGUUAGCGGCGGACGGGUGAGUAACACGUGGAUAACCUACCUAUAAGACUGGGAUAACUUCGGGAAACCGUAGCUAAUACCGGAUAAUAUUUUGAACCGCAUGGUUCAAAAGUGAAAGACGGUCUUGCUGUCACUUAUAGAUGGAUCCGCGCUGCAUUAGCUAGUUGGUAAGGUAACGGCUUACCAAGGCAACGAUGCAUAGCCGACCUGAGAGGGUGAUCGGCCACACUGGAACUGAGACACGGUCCAGACUCCGACGGGAGGCAGCAGUAGGGAAUCUGCCGCAAUGGGCGAAAGCCUGACGGAGCAACGCCGCGUGAGUGAUGAAGGUCUUCGGAUCGUAAAACUCUGUUAUUAGGGAAGAACAUAUGUGUAAGUAACUGUGCACAUCUUGACGGUACCUAAUCAGAAAGCCACGGCUAACUACGUG
rnacentral:rRNA from 1 species